CGUUGGUGCCUCCGCGACGCUAGAUCGAAAAUCCCGCCAGGGCCGGAAGGCAGCAACGGUAUUGAUUGACGCGUGCGCCGGAGAUCCGCUGGCGGGG
rfam:Rhodanobacter sp. SCN 66-43 ABT18_C0009, whole genome shotgun sequence.